GAUGAACGCUGGCGGCGUGCCUAAUACAUGCAAGUCGAGCGAACAGACGAGGAGCUUGCUCCUCUGAUGUUAGCGGCGGACGGGUGAGUAACACGUGGAUAACCUACCUAUAAGACUGGGAUAACUUCGGGAAACCGGAGCUAAUACCGGAUAACAUCUUGAACCGCAUGGUUCAACAGUGAAAGACGGUUUUGCUGUCACUUAUAGAUGGAUCCGCGCCGCAUUAGCUAGUUGGUAAGGUAACGGCUUACCAAGGCAACGAUGCGUAGCCGACCUGAGAGGGUGAUCGGCCACACUGGAACUGAGACACGGUCCAGACUCCUACGGGAGGCAGCAGUAGGGAAUCUUCCGCAAUGGGCGAAAGCCUGACGGAGCAACGCCGCGUGAGUGAUGAAGGUCUUCGGAUCGUAAAACUCUGUUAUUAGGGAAGAACAAAUGUGUAAGUAACUAUGCACGUCUUGACGGUACCUAAUCAGAAAGCCACGGCUAACUACGUG
rnacentral:rRNA from 1 species